AAAUUAUGAAACUAUAGCAAUUUAAAUCAAAUUGGAUAUGUUAACAUAUCGGGCAUCCAUCAGUUCAAUUUGUUAGUCUCGGAUAUAAUGAUUUUUAUAAAUAUGGAUAUUUUUAAAACCUAACUCGAAUUAUCGAAUCACCAGAUUAACCGAUAUGACCGCGGUUUCGGGUCGAAUUUAAAAGCAUUGAUUUAAAUGCAAAGAAAAUUCAAAUAAACAAAAUUCUU
rnacentral:lncRNA from 1 species